GGGGAAUAUUGGGCAAUGGGGGAAACCCUGACCCAGCAACGCCGCGUGAGGGAAGAAGGUUUUCGGAUUGUAAACCUCUGUUCUUGGAGAAGAGAAGAAGACGGUAUCCAAGGAGGAAGCCCCGGCUAACUACGUGCCAGCAGCCGCGGUAAUACGUAGGGGGCGAGCGUUGUCCGGAAUAAUUGGGCGUAAAGGGCGCGUAGGCGGCUUUACAAGUCAGUAGUGGAAGUCCCAUUUUCAAGGUGGGGAGGGCUAUUGAAACUGUAGGGCUUGAGUGCAGGAGAGGUUAUCGGAAUUCCCGGUGUAGCGGUGAAAUGCGUAGAGAUCGGGAGGAACACCAGUGGCGAAGGCGGGUAACUGGACUGCAACUGACGCUGAGGCGCGAAAGUGUGGGGAGCAAAC
rnacentral:rRNA from 1 species